rnacentral:rRNA from 1 species
UAGGUAAUCUUCCGCAAUGGACGCAAGUCUGACGGAGCAACGCCGCGUGAGUGAAGAAGGAUUUCGGUUCGUAAAACUCUGUUGUUAGAGAAGAACAGCGCAUAGAGUAACUGUUAUGCGUGUGACGGUAUCUAACCAGAAAGCCACGGCUAACUACGUGCCAGCAGCCGCGGUAAUACGUAGGUGGCAAGCGUUGUCCGGAUUUAUUGGGCGUAAAGCGAGCGCAGGCGGUCAAUUAAGUCUGAUGUGAAAGCCCCCGGCUCAACCGGGGAGGGUCAUUGGAAACUGGUUGACUUGAGUGCAGAAGAGGAGAGUGGAAUUCCAUGUGUAGCGGUGAAAUGCGUAGAUAUAUGGAGGAACACCAGUGGCGAAGGCGACUCUCUGGUCUGUAACUGACGCUGAGGUUCGAAAGCGUGGGUAGCAAACAGG